rnacentral:rRNA from 1 species
UACGUAGGGGGCAAGCGUUGUCCGGAUUUAUUGGGCGUAAAGAGCGUGUAGGCGGCCAUACAGGUCCGUUGUGAAAACUCGAGGCUUAACCUCGAGACGUCGAUGGAAACCGUAUGGCUAGAGUCCGGAAGAGGAGAGUGGAAUUCCUGGUGUAGCGGUGAAAUGCGUAGAUAUUGGGAAGAACACCUGAGGCGAAGGCGGGUUGCUGGGCUGAUACUGACGCUGAGGCGCGAAAGCGUGGGGAGCGAACAGG